rnacentral:rRNA from 1 species
AUUGAACGCUGGCGGCAUGCCUUACACAUGCAAGUCGAACGGUAACAGGUCUUCGGAUGCUGACGAGUGGCGAACGGGUGAGUAAUACAUCGGAACGUGCCCGAUCGUGGGGGAUAACGAAGCGAAAGCUUUGCUAAUACCGCAUAAGAUCUAAGGAUGAAAGCAGGGGACCGCAAGGCCUUGCGCGAACGGAGCGGCCGAUGGCAGAUUAGGUAGUUGGUGGGAUAAAAGCUUACCAAGCCGACGAUCUGUAGCUGGUCUGAGAGGACGACCAGCCACACUGGGACUGAGACACGGCCCAGACUCCUACGGGAGGCAGCAGUGGGGAAUUUUGGACAAUGGGCGAAAGCCUGAUCCAGCCAUGCCGCGUGCAGGAUGAAGGCCUUCGGGUUGUAAACUGCUUUUGUACGGAACGAAAAGACUCUGGUUAAUACCUGGGGUCCGUGACGGUACCGUAAGAAUAAGCACCGGCUAACUACGUGCCAGCAGCCGCCGUAAUAC